UGACCUGAGCAAACAGCUGGGGGGCAAGCAGAGAGUUGUAAGAAGACUCCUGAAUUUAUAAAAAGCAUGAAAUUCUAGCCCAGAGCCACUGCAGAAGACGGAGAUGCCCCAUGAGCAACUCCCUCUGAAUGGGUCUCAGGAAGAUGAAAGCUUGUCCUAUGACGUAAACGACCAGCUUCUGCUGGUCCAGCCAGAUCUGCCAGGCAACCGGGCUACAGUCCUGCAGGAUGUUUCAUAAGCCCUUAUUUUUCUCCUGGCCUUUAGAUGCAGAGGAAUACUAAUCUAUCAGAGGAUUCAGGUUACAGCACCACAGACCAUGGCCCCUGGCGGGCACUGAGCAUCUCACCCAGCUCACUGGGUUCUCCCAGCCAGCUCACUGACUUCCUGUUGAGGAAACUGACUCACACAAGUGCACCUGAGUCACAGAGAAUGUGAAGCUGAGCCGGGCCAGACGAGGGCUGCAGACUUCAUGAUUUGUGGCUUAGCCUGUGGAAGUGGGGCCCCCGCAAGGAAAGCGGUGGUGGGUCAGGAUGCCUUGGGCGACCCUGGGAGUCAAAAGCCCACUGAGGUGCCAACUUGGGCCUUUGCCAUCCUCCAUGCCAUGCCUGCUCGUUCUUGCCCCCAUGCACCGCCCCCUACCUUUCCUCUGCCGCACCUUUAGCUGCCCAGCAGGCCAGUCGUCCAUCCUCUGGGUCACUUUUCCUGACCACUCCUGCUCUCACUCUUUCCUCGCCCUCGAACUCCCCUGGUCUACGCCACUCAUCUUAGAACCUGAGUUCUGACUUCACCUCUGCUGUGGAGACCAUUUUCAGAGAGGGCACUUGGAGCCAGACAGAUGGGUUCACAUUCUGGGUCUACCACUUGAUAGCUCUCCGACCUCUGACCUCAGUCAGGCUGCUCAUACCCUUUGGGGCCUCAGUUUCCUUAUCCACAACAUGAGCAUGACAAUAUCCAGUUCAGAGUUGUCCUGAAGGACCGGCAAAGUGACCUAUGUGAGUGCCAGGAGCGCAGCCUGGAAUCCAGCACGUGGAAGAGGAAAUCUGGACACACAGAGCCACCAGGGACACGUGCACAGAUAGGCCACGUGAAGACACGCUGAGAAGGCCUGGAUUCCAGCCUCCAAAAUUGUGAGAAAAUUACUUUCUGUUAUUGUAGCCCCUACUCCGUGGUAUUCUGUUACGUAGCCCCAGCAAACUAAUUACAGGUCAUGACUGGUGUUCUUAUAAGGAGGGGAGAUUUGGGUGGAGAUACAUGUAGAGGGAUGACGAUGCGAAGAAGCUCUGGGAGAAGACGGCCAAAUACGCGCCAGGGACAGGGGCCUGGGACAGAUCCCUCCCUCCAGCCCUCAGGAUGACCCACCCUG